CACAGUGAACUUCAUAUUCAAAACAAAACAAACAAACAAAAACAAACUUGUUAGUACACAGCAACAAAAAAAAUAAAUAAAUAAAAAUCUUACCAGGUAUUUUGGGUCGAGUUUCUGGACAGUAAAAUGGGAAACAAUAUCCAACAUAGAGAGCGUUCACUUCCAGCGGCAUUCUGGGAGAUGUAGGCGGAGGGACGCUUUACCUGCUCUGUCUCCAGGUGAGUGGCGUCAGCUACGAACUACUAACUCGCGCGCUCUUCGGUUGCCUAGCAACAACCUGUCCACUCAACCUGCGCAGCUUCAGCUAUGAAACAAGCAGCCUCUCAUGAUGAACAGUUUCCAUACUGCAGCCCCUCCGUGCUGCGUUCAGGUGCUCCACUGCACCCUUUCAUCACCGCAGCAUGGUGGGGUGAGGGAACGCUGCGCCGAGCUUCUGAAAGCUCUCUCCGAAGCACAAAGCCUACUUUGAUUUCUGCAGUCGAAUCAACGUCGUGCUCGCACAUGUUAUCAGAAUCUGCUGACUGCGUCUCUCCCUGCGUGGCCUCGGGGAGUCUCACACUGACAGGGGGAGGGAUGCGGCGAGGUUAUCAGAUAUUGCAAACGAGGCCUGAAAGCGCAGCAAGUAACAGAAUCGAGUGUUUAAGUUUUGUUUUUUUGCUUGUAACUGUUCACCUGUGUGGGAGAAAAGCCCGGAUUGUUUUAGUCGGGUGACAAAAUGAAUGGAAAAUGCUGGACUCACUUCAGUUUCGAAUGAAAGAAAGGCUGUGGAAGCAUUCAUGUGUUAAAUAUGAGGAAGAUUUUGAUGUUACAAUGCAGCCCUAAUCUGUAGCUCCCACCACAGAUUUUUCACAGAUCAGGAUCAAGUCUGGACUUUGACUGGGCCGCUCCGAUAUGUUCAAGCAGUGUCGUUUCCAAUCAGAGAGAGAAAAACUAAAUAAAUAACAUGGUGGUAAAAUUAAAACCUAAAUCUACCAGAAGACCUUCUCUUCUCUCCCUGGAUCAGGAUGAGCAAAUUAAAGUAUCUUAAUCCACUCUAUCAACAAUAGCAGUUUGUAAAAAGAACAAAAAUAAACUUUUACUCCAUGUUUC